rnacentral:rRNA from 2 species
GUGGAGCUACCUGCAGUCGAGCGGAUGAAGGGAGCUUGCUCUCUGAUUCAGCGGCGGACGGGUGAUGGCUGUAAUGCCUAGGAAUCCAUCGAUUAGUGGGGGACAACGUUUCGAAAGGAACGCUAAUACCGCAUACGUCCUACGGGAGAAAGCAGGGGACCUUCGGGCCUUGCGCUAAUAGAUGAGCCUAGGUCGGAUUAGCUAGUUGGUGAGGUAAAGGCUCACCAAGGCAACGAUCCGUAACUGGUCUGAGAGGAUGAUCAGUCACACUGGAACUGAGACACGGUCCAGACUCCUACGGGAGGCAGCAGUGGGGAAUAUUGGACAAUGGGCGAAAGCCUGAUCCAGCCAUGCCGCGUGUGUGAAGAAGGUCUUCGGACCGAAAAGCACUUUAAGUUGGGAGGAAGGGCAGUAAGUUAAUACCUUGCUGUUUUGACGUUACCGACAGAAUAAGCACCGGCUAACUUCGUGCCAGCAGCCGCGGUAAUACGAAGGGUGCAAGCGUUAAUCGGAAUUACUGGGCGUAAAGCGCGCGUAGGUGGUUCGUUAAGUUGGAUGUGAAAGCCCCGGGCUCAACCUGGGAACUGCAUCCAAAACUGGCGAGCUAGAGUAUGGCAGAGGGUGGUGGAAUUUCCUGUGUAGCGGUGAAAUGCGUAGAUAUAGGAAGGAACACCAGUGGCGAAGGCGACCACCUGGGCUAAUACUGACACUGAGGUGCGCGAUGCGUGGGGAGCAAACAGGAUUAGAUACCCUGGUAGUCCACGCCGUAACGAUGUCGACUAGCUCGAUGAUGGAUCCUUGAGAUCUUAGUGGCGCAUCGUAGCUAACGCAUUAAGU